GACAGAGGGUGCAAACGUUGUCCGGAUUUAUUGGGCGUAAAGAGCUCGUAGGCGGCUUGUCGCGUCGACUGUGAAAUCCCGCGGCUCAACUGCGGGUCUGCAGUCGAUACGGGCAGGCUAGAGUUCGGUAGGGGAGACUGGAAUUCCUGGUGUAGCGGUGAAAUGCGCAGAUAUCAGGAGGAACACCGGUGGCGAAGGCGGGUCUCUGGGCCGAUACUGACGCUGAGGAGCGAAAGCGUGGGGAGCGAACAGG
rnacentral:rRNA from 1 species